UGUUAACUCUCAAAAAUUCCUCUGCCGUCAUCAACAUCUCACCACCAUCUUAACCCUUACCGUAGGGUCAUCGAUCACCAUUAUCAUUGCUAAAAGCUGCAACCCAAUUCCUUUCUCUACAAACUCUCGCUAACAUCAGACCCGUCUUGCUAAUUGGUUCGUGUUUUUCCUGAUUCUUUUGGGCGAAAGUAACGUAGAGAUCAUGGAAGGAUAUUCGAAGUACGGAUUACGCGCACUUAAGGUUGGUAAAGGUAUUUGGCUACGAGUGAGGAGACGCUUAGAAUAACCACCUAGUCAAAAGACAAUUUCUAUUUCAGUUUUAAGUUGGAUUUUGUUAUUUAUUUAAUGAGAAUUGGUUGUAAUAUUUUAUGAGCCACCUUUUAGAUCACUUAGUUAAUUUUGACUUUAAUGGUUUUAAAUAGUUUUGUUGCUUUGCAUUUAUUUUCUAAGGAGAAUAAAUGUAGCAGUGACACUCCCAAGGUUUGGACGAUGA